UGACGCCGCACUCCCCUCGCUCAGUUUUCCCUCGCUCCCGCACUCCCCUAGGCGCUGCAAUCCCCUUCGACGCCGCACUCCCCUCGCGCUCUGCAUCUGCAUCUCGACCCAGCCCUUCAACUCCCUCAACGGCAGCGGUGGAGUGUGCCGCAGCCAGGUACGUGGUGCAGCAUCGAGCAGAGGAACAUCGCGGCCACAUCCUGUUUCGCACCUCGCCACAAACAUGUUUCUAACACGGAGGCCCGCCGCUCGCUGAUCACGCCGCGACGAAACGUGGUGUCAUGGCGGCAUGCACUGCCUGCCGAAGUGCCAAAUCGCCGUUUCCCGACGCUUGUUGUCACCGCGUGUCCGCGGCCCGCCUCGCAGCAUCCCUGACGCCUAAGGAUAGGCCGAACGAUGGAUGCCCAGGUCCAGCCGAUCAUCUGGCCAAGUCUCCGGCGCUACCAUGUCGCACGCCUGGCUACGGGCCACGCCAGCCUCUAGCCCGAGCGUCCCUCUCAGUCCUGCAUCUGCUGUGUACACGCCUUUCAGGGUUUCUCUGCUUCAGUUGAUCAGCUCUGAAUUCAUUUGUGUUGGCACACACACCAGGCACUCAGGUCUUGCCCUGCCGCUGCCACACACUAGGCACGUGGAAUCAAGAUGCUUCUCCGACGUCCGUUGCAACAUAUUGCCGAUCUCGCCACCUACAGUCCAUGGAAGAUCGAUCGUGGUGCCAUCCUAUACAGCAUCUGGCAUUAGUUCCAAGCAGUCAGUUCGAUUCUGGUGAUCAGGUAAUUUCGCCAACCAUUAUUUCAUAGUCUCAUGCUCAAUUUGGUUUUACGCUCGAAGUUUCUUUGUUUCAGUUUGAUGGAGCUGUGAUAAUUAUUGUUAACUUUUGCAUUAUGUGAUGCAAAAUAAUUUGAUCAUGCAAGACUUUAUGAGUCGGUUGUUCAUUGGUCUUUCAUCUUCUUGUCAUGAAAACUAACAUCAUAAUUUAGUGAAAAUCUGUUUAGAGGCAUUCUAUAAUUUCCAAAUGACAGUUAUCACAAAUUUUUGAAAACAAAUGCUAGCACAAGUACAGAACCUACUACUAAUCUGUAAAAAUAUAGUUUGGAAACUCUAAAACCUGCACUUGCUGAAUAGCAAAACUAUUAAAACUAUAGAAAUAGUAUAAACUGUAGCAAUCUGACAAUAGAAAAAACUGAAAGUGGAUGCUACUUAUUCUCAAGCAAAACUGAAAAUAGAUUUUGCACUUGUUGCAACCUGCAAAACAACAAAACAACACAAAAGAGAAUAAAUAGCUAUAGCAUUGAAUUUUAUUUGACAAAUUGGAGUUCACCUGUAGAAUUGCUUAGUUAAUCUGCACACUAUUUAGUUGGCAUAGUAUUUUAAUUGAAUUUUUAGCAUAAGGAUAUUUGAAAUAAGCUGAUCUGCCAGUAAUGACUAAUGAGGAUACCUUAGUGUUUGGGAUCCCUGUACUUUAGUGGUCUAGGCUUUGAAAGGUAACUUCACUAUAGGCCUCGCACUCACCCUCAUCUCGACGGUGCGCGUGUUGCUGGGGAUUGGCGAAGAGGGCUGCCACGACGGCGCGCACUGUUGCGUUCUCUUCAGCCCCUCCCAGAAUUACUCCUCCCUCAGGUACAGGUAUUCUCUUCCUCUUCCCUAUGUCUGCAUAUAAAAUAGUAUUUGAAUUGUGGCAACAAUCAGAAAACAUUGUUACAAUAAAUUUUAAUUGGCCAAUCAGACAUGGUUCAGAUUAUGUCAGCUUGAAAGAAAUAAACAUGGUUCAGAUUAUGUCAGCUUCAAAGAAAUUGGUUGACCAGACCAUGUGUGCUUGGUUGUUUCGUGAACAUGCUUUUACCAUCUCAACUAAUAGAUGCAAGAAUGAAAUGAUCAAGGAAAGGACUUGCCCUGGCUUUUGUAGUUCUGUUGCUACUGAAUCUAACUGACCUUGUGUACGUUCUAUAAAUUUAUUUAAUAUCUAUGAGAUUGAGUUCGAUAAUCAACUGACAUUUAUGUGCUGAUCUAAAAACUUAACCAAAUCAUUUAGAUGAAGAACACAAUAAUCAUCUGUUUGAUCUAGCUGUAGAUAGUAUGUUUCAUAGUUUUAGACUAUGACAAAAUGGCUUGCAUCAUAAAAAAGAACUAUAAAAUAUCUAUUCUAUUGAUAGUGUAAAGCUGAAUAAAAUAAUCAUCUUUCAGUAAGAAAGUUCCAUCCCAAAACUAAAAAGCUACAAAGAGGUAAUGUCUCACUUGUCGAUACAGAUUUUUUUCAAGAUAGUAAAUAGUACUUUCUUUAAGAAUUAAGAAACAACUUAUACGCAGGAUACUUCCAACUACAACUUCAGUUGUAAGAAGUCAGACAAUUCAUUUCUAGAUCAUCUUUGAUUAGUGAUCAGCUGUAGCUUGGUGCCUGUGCAAUAUGAAGUUGAUGUUUCAGUUUCGUAUUAAAAAUUGGAGUCACAUGUUAACUAUCUAUCUUUCUUGAAGACUUAUGUAAUAUUGAUAUUUCAAACACAUGAUUGUAGUAUCUAUUUUAGGUAAAUAUGUUAUGUUGGUAUUAUGUGUUCCCGUUGCAACGCACGGGCAUUUACCUAGUUGAACAUUAAAUAUAGACGAAAACAAAAACUAAUUACACAGUUUACCUAUAAAUCACGAGAUGAAUCUUUUGAGCCUAGUUAGUCCAUGAUUGGAUGAUAUUUGUCAAAUAAAAAUGAAAAUGCUACAGUACCGAAAUCUUUUCGGAACUAGAACAAGAUCUAGGUUUAAUUUGUAUAAGGAAGCCAAUCUAGAAUGAAUCCUGGGCCCGGAAGGAGCUAACCGAACGAGCCCCUAUCUCUUGAAUCUAUUGUUGCACUGCAGGCGGUAUUUGGUGUGUUUUGCUAGAAGAUAGUAUUCCCCAGUACUCCGUAGUACGCAUCAUUGGUGAACUGGCUUGAUGCUGCAUCGUCCAUUCCAUCGACGACGAUGUGAUGCAGCAUCGCUUUCCGUUCAUAACUUCAUCUCUGUCAUUGGCUAAGUGCUUUUAGACGGAGUCACACGUGUCACAAAUGUAGUAAAGAAGCUUAGCCAUGGAUGAAUUAGGACUAGUGAUUAGCUGACUAGUAAUUAGUUGACUAGUGAUUAGUUUAGUCCUGUUUGGAUCCCUAGGCUAAUAACCACUUCUAUCUCAACACAAAGUCGUUUUUACCCCCGAGUUUGUUUUGUCAGUUCAACUGUUGUCCCACCGCCACCUGCAGUUGCGCUGUGUGGAGCGUGCCCUCCUUUCUUGAACUCCAAAUGUGGGGUGGGCAAUCGGUUGAAAUUUACCCAGAAUGUGUUGUUUUUAUAGGCGUGCUUGUGACAAUUUGAGUAGUUUCCUUUUCAAAUCAUAUAGUACAUAAACCCCAGAAAAUCGAUUACUCCUGCUUGGUUAGGCAAGAACCUAACUAACUGGAGCUGUGCUGUCCAAGCAGGUGUCACUGACAUUUGUUGCAGGUAGUGAGGGGGCCAUUUACAGGAACGAACGAGGAAGACGGCGGAUGGAAAAUGCAGAGAAUCACCUAUCUAGGGGCGAUGAGGGCGAGCUGACAGCUGAGUGAAACGUGAAGGUGAAUCAGCCAUGUCGGCUAGCUCCGCGGAAAUUGCUGUGCUCCAGCUCCAGAUAUGACUACCAGAUCAUUUCAUGGUUGUUUAAACAGUACUGUACAUAUGACUUCAUCUAUCCUGUCAGCAUGAUAUAAUGACAACAACAACUUGGGGAUUUGGCUCGCGGUAGUCUUGUGCGAUGCUCAUUUGUUGGUGGAGGGGAACUGCUCCUCCUUUGACCUCGUUGCUGGAUCAGACCACAGAUUCUCUAGUUGCAAGUUCAUAUCAUCCAAGCUGUUAGUGUUAGGGAGGGAUGUGGUGAAUUGGACGGUGUUUCCAGCCGAAAGCGACGCAACUAACCCCCUCCCCAGCCGGUGACCGACAUGAAAGGCAGUGGUCAGGAGCUGGUGCAUCAGCAGGCAAGGAGCUGGUGCAUGAACAUCGCCAAAAGCGUUUUGAUUGGGUCCCUUCUCCUAGCUAUGAAAGGAAAGCAAUCCUUUUGAAGGGCACAAGCUACCCGGGAGUAAGGACAAUGCUUUGCUUUAUUUAGGUUGUACUGAACACUGUUGCUAGGUGUCCUUUUUUUCACUCUGUUGCUAAUUCUAGAAACAGUCGAGAUACAAUAGAGGGCAUCUUCUCUUCAAAUUGACUGGCGGCAAAGUUCCUACCGUGAGGACAACAUUAUCCAUACAUAUGUACUACUCCCUCCGUCCACGAAAGAGUCAAUUUCUAAAGUUGUCCUAAGUCAAACUUUUUAAACUUUGACCAAAU